AUUGAACGCUGGCGGCAGGCCUAACACAUGCAAGUCGAACGAGUGGCGGACGGGUGAGUAAUGUCUGGGAAACUACCCUAUGGAGGGGGAUAACUACUGGAAACGGUAGCUAAUACCGCAUACCAUCGGGUGAGCCCAGAUGGGCUUAGCUAGUAGGUGGGGUAAUGGCUCACCUAGGCGACGAUCCCUAGCUGGUCUGAGAGGAUGACCAGCCACACUGGAACGGAGACACGGCCCAGACUCCUACGGGAGGCAGCAGGGGGGAAUAUUGGACAAUGGGGGAAAGCCUGAUCCAGCCAUGCCGCGUGUGUGAAGAAGGUCUUCGGAUUGUAAAGCACUUUAAGUUGGGAGGCGUUACCAACAGAAUAAGCACCGGCUAACUUCGUGCCAGCAGCCGCGGUAAUAC
rnacentral:rRNA from 1 species